CCGCGGCGGCGCCCGCCCGCGCCUGCAUCCGGGUCUUGGCGCGCUGCUCUCCGUGCGUGGCGGCCAGCGGCAGCAGGCGUGAGGGACGUGCCAUCUUUGCGGCGGUGACAGCGGCAAGGGUCGGUCUUUGCGAGUCUGAGGGAACCGGGAUUACUGAGGAGAAGGCCUUCCUGUGGUACUCAGCUGUUUUUCCUUUUUCACAUUCAUCCUUGAAGUUCUCUUCACUGUGGGAUGAGGUAGUAGGUUGUAUAGUUUUAGGGUCACACCCACCACUGGGAGAUAACUAUACAAUCUACUGUCUUUCCUAAGGUGAUGGAAAAGUCUACAUCCAGGCAGCCUUAUGGAAAGUUAGUAACUGUUCGGUGUUUAAGAUAAACUUGUUAAAAAGGCUUUUGCUUACAGUAUGCAAGUUGUUUUAGAGACUAAAAAAAAAUCUUCAGGUACACUGAAUGGGAGUUAGGGAUACUUUCUGCUUAUUGUCUUCAUUUUUGUGGAGUUUUUUAAAUUGAUGUUGAAGGUUUGAGGUUAAAAUUUACUUUCGUUGAAAUUUUCUUUUGAGAUUGUGUUUUCCAUUAUUCCAGAAGAAAAGAUUGCUCUAUCAGAGUGAGGUAGUAGAUUGUAUAGUUGUGGGGUAGUGAUUUUACCCUGGUCAGGAGAUAACUAUACAAUCUAUUGCCUUCCCUGAGGAGUAGACUUGCUGCAUUAUUUUGAUUUUUAUCUAGGUGAUAAUUAAAAUUCAGAUGAAUUCAUUUUGACAUUCUUUUGUGUUUACAGUUAUUAGUUGUUAAGUUUCUCUCCAAGUAGAAUGCAGUAAAAACUGAUCUUAAGUUUUAAUUUUCACAUGUGGUGUAUAUAUAUAUUUCAGAAAUUUGAAAAUUAAAGCAAAAAUUUUGGAGAAAGUAAGUACCUUUCAGGAAAUAUUAGUAGAAGACUAGGCCCUUUUGGAAUUAUGAACCGGUGCACUGCCAUAUAUUCUGAUAGCACAUGUCCAGGGUGACAUCUUGGGUAGUAAAGGUACAUACCAACUGGAAGGUCACUGUUUCAGCUAAAUUUGAGUCCAGUUGAUUAUCCAUUCCUACCAUGGUUUUGAGUGGUAUCAGAGAAUGCCGGAAGCACUGCUUCAUUGGUGUGCAGAUUUGGGCAGGCUUUACUUGCCAGCCUGGAGCAGGUGAGGUAAGCUGUGGGUUUUACUUUUGCUCACUGGUAAGUUGCUAAGAAAACUUAAAAGUGGUCCUUCACAAAGGAGGAUCCCCUGAAACUAACACAUGAAAUGCAUUAUCUAUUCCUUUAAAUAUGAGAUGAGUCUACUUAAAUUUUAGCAACCAUGAAGGCCCGUGUUUCAGCUUUCUUUCAGUGCUCAAACCAUAUAGACGCUAUAGCUAAACAAGGGCGAAAGCUCCCUAUUUAAAGUGCUUGUUUAAACUACAUAUUUUGGAUGCAAGAGAAAAGAGGCAAAAUGUGGAGGUAAAGGAAAAGUCACCUCUUCCAUUUAUUUCUGAAUCUUAAAUAUCUCAGAGUCACAGUGUAAUGCCAUUGGCAGCAGAAAUUUUACAGAAAACACAAAACUCGCUUGGAUAGGUCUAACUUAGAUUAUUUAUCCUGGGCCAGAUUUUUUUUUUUUUUUACUUCAACCUUGACAUAAUAGAGGAAGAAUUGGUGGUCCUAAAUUGGAUGUAUAAACACUGGGGAAAACUUGACAUUCAUUGUCUUUUGGUGUGAAAGAAGAACAGAAAUGUGUGGGGAAUUCUUUGGCAGUAUGCAUAACUCACCUGAAAAGUCUUGGUAUUUUGUGUUUUUUCUGAACAUGUCUCCUAAACAUGGUUAUUUUCUACUCUCCACUAGGAAACUUAUAUGGAAAAAGUUUAUUUCGGGCCGGGGAUUUAGCCCAGUGGUUCCGUCGCCUGCCUUGCAAGCGCAAGGAGACCCUAGUUGGAUCCCCGGUACCAAAAAAAAAAAAGAAAAAGUUUAUUUCAUCUAUUAACAUAAGGGCUACUUGCUAGCCAAAUAGACUGAGUGGAUCAAAUUGUGCGGAACUUAACAUUUUAUGAAAAUACAUAUAAGAUAAUUAAGGAGAACGUAAUAGUCUCUAAAAAGCUUGUUUUUAAUAGUGACAAAAUUGUGAUCAGAAUUUGAUUUUGUUUUCUAUAAACUAAGGGUGAAAUUUUGAAAUACUUUAACAGGCCGAAGAACUGAAUGUAACCCCGAAACAUUUGACCCUAAAAUGGGACAGACAUUAAGUUUAAUUUGUUCCAGUUGAUAAGUAGCAAACAGGAUUUAUAUAUAGUUUCAGCUAACUUUCCAGUUUUAUCAAGAGGCUGGAGAUUUUAUGAAAUCUCGCAUUUGAGUUUUGGUAAUUAAAUGUUUUAAACAAAACUAGUAGUUGGUGGGCUGAGUAUUAUGUUACUGGUUUGCAUCCUCUGAUAUAAUUACUUUCUUGUCCCUUUGUAACUUGAGGUUUUUAAGAAAAUAUUUUUGAGGCUUUAUGCCAAGGUCAUAUAGCAAAUAGCUUUGAAAGCAUCAGCGAAAGUUCUGACUAGUUGAAUUUGAAACAAAACUCAAAUAUGGCCUAACUUAACAGGUUAUUUUGAAGUGAAUCUGCCAAGUAGAAGAACAGCAAGAAUACAGUGGGUUCCUAGGAAGAGGUAGUAGGUUGCAUAGUUUUAGGGCAGGGAUUUUGCCCACAAGGAGGUAACUAUACGACCUGCUGCCUUUCUUAGGGCCUUAUUAUUCCACGGUACCCUGUUUUCUUUGCUACCUUGCUGUGGUGUAAGCAGAGUUCUUUCUGUAGGUUUUCUUCUAAAUAAAAACAUUGCAGGGAUGCCAAAGACAGCAAUGUUUGCAUUACUGAUAUAAUUAGCGUGGUGCCAAUGUCAGUGACAGUUAAUGAGAUUUGAGGCUCUUGAAGUAUAGUUAGGUGUUGUUUAUGUAGUCCGGUGUGGUGGCACAAGCCUGUGAUCCUAGCACGUGGGAGGCUGAGGCAGGAGGAUCGAUGAAAGUUUGAGGCCAGCCUAAACUAUAUAGCCAGAUCCUGUCUCAAAAAGACCCUCUUCCUCCCAAAAAAGUUGUUUGUGUGUCUCACUUUGGGUCAUUGGGAGGUUUUUGGAAAAGCAGUUUUUUUGUUUUGUGCUUAGUUUUUUCUCUGUGUGUGUCCUAGAAACUCACUUAUUCCCUUUUCUAUAUGUUUCUGCAUUAUAAAAAGCAUUUUGUAAAACUAUUGGAAUAUUUUGCUCUUCAUUAUAUUUGUAGAUCUUAUGAAAUCUUUGGGAUUUUGUCUUCUGGAUUUAAAAUUUAAGGCAGUUUCUCAGGGUAUGGGAAUCAGUAACUGGAUUGAACUCCUCAUUGUGGUUUGUAACCCUGUGAUCAAAUCUGUUUAAUGUGUGCAAGUCUCUUCUAGUCCUUGAAUGAAAAUGAUUAUCAGAAUAGUGGAGUUAUUAUAAUCUGCUAGAUUUAUACAUCUUUUCAAUAAAAAUAUGUACUUAAAAACUUUGUGUUUUUGAAAUUAUUCCUCCUCUAUAUCCCUACAGAGUUAAUAAAGAUCUGUUAAAGUGCUUCAUUUUAUUUUUUGUUUGUAAUUUCAUGAUUAUAAUAUUCACAGGUGUGUAUUAAGGUAACUAAAGCAGUACCUAGCACUUUCAGUUUUGUAAACACUUGUGUUAACUUUGCACACAGAAUUGCGUGUUCUGAUUCUAGCAUUUACCAUCUUAGGUAUGGUGUUAAGUCUAGGGUAUGAGAGUCAGUAGCCCAAAGAUAGUUGUCAGUUGAUGUAGUUGGAUAUGACUCCUUAAGCACUUUCCACAUUUAUUUAAAAUUCAAAGAUUUAAAGAUCUCUGUAGAAUUUCAAACCAAUUCAAUAUAUGAACAGCAAAGAAAUGAGAAUAGUAUUUAAGAUUAGGGAUCAUUUUUACAUCCGCAUUCCAAAUUUUCUGCAAGUUUGUUAUAAAAGUAUGAUUUCUGUAUCUAAUCAUUUUCCUUUAUUAGUAUUUGGGUCUUCAUUUUUCCUGUAUUUAGCUUAAUUGCUUGGGUGUUGUCUUCUCCCACAUUGUAUUUCGACUGUUGGAAUCUUGAGGGGAAACCUGGGAGAACAACAGAGGCUUUUUUUUUUUCAGUUGAAGGUUGUCAACAGCAAUAUUGGCUGGUUAAUUGGCUGACUUAAUAGAAGCAUCUGUUGAAUUCAACUCCUUGUGAUUCUGAAAUUCUAUUUGAAACUAAUAACUUUUGAUCCAGAAUUAUUUUUUCCGGAGUACAAUUGUGGGUCUGGAGUAGCAGCACUGAAUUCCUAGUAACAGCAGGAAAAUGCUGUAGAUCAUAGGGGCUUCAAACAUAGUGUAGUUUUUCUUCCCAUCUAGCAAGUGGUUUCAUUCUGAGUCACCUUUGUUAUAAUAUGACUGCCAUUCUUGGGAAAAGACAGAAGGCACAUGUACACCCAUGUAAAGAAUUUUCUCAGGGUCAACUAUGUAGCUUAGUGGCAGGGUGUUUGCCUAGCAUGUACAAGGUCCUGUUUUCAAUCCCCACUGCCAUGCAAAACAAAUUUUUUUUUUCUCAAAAAUGCCACCUAGUGCCAGGGAUUUAGCUCUGGUUUCCCCGCCUGCUGCGCAAGUGCAAGGACCCGAGUUCAAUUCUUGGUACCAAAAAAAAAAAAAAUACCACCUAGUGACAUGUUACCCAUUGGAACUCUAGACUAGGCUACAGAAAGGCUGGGUGGAAACAGUCCUUGCAGACCAGGGAAAUAAUACAAGUAUCUAUUUCUAGUAGUGGAUGUUAGGGGAAAAGCAAUGAUGUAAAGAUAACCAACAGGCUCUAUUUAACCCCUGCCAGUAGUAACAGGUGGCCUCAGUUGGUUACUCGUAGCCCUGAGAAAUUCUUAAUGCAGUUGUGAGAUUUAGAAAGGAGUAUGGGGGGCCGUGUUUUUAACAAUGUGGAAAGAAACAGAGCUGGUUAGAAAACUCCCACUCUAUUUGGGCCAUGUAUGUAUUAUCUACAGCAAAGGCUUAGUACAGAAAUAGAAAUACUCAAAACAUUUUUAAAAUUUAAUUUUUAGGUUCACAGCAAGGUACAGUGAGUGUUCCUUGCCUGCACUGACAGAGCAUCUCCUUUACUAUCAGUGUCUUGACUACAGAGUUAUACUGUAAUGCGACAGUUUUCUUUUUUUAGAAGUCCUUUCACCAUUAGCGGUUUAGUUCAUUGCCCCAUGAAUGGAAGGACGUAACAGUGAAUGCCAUGUUGUGUGUGUGUGUGGAAAUUGACAAAAGCAGAUACUUUGUAAAAAUGAUUUUAGGGAUUUUUGCAUCAAUAUGGUAUGCCUAUUGCAUUGAAAAUUAGUGUAUUACACAAUUUACUGUUUUGCCAUAUGUGUAUUGCCAGUGAGCACUUAGGAAAAAAUGGGAUUACAGAUUUGGGUGGGUGCUGGGGAUAAGGUCCCUGUGUAGAUUAUUUCAAGGGUGGGUGUGGUGAUGCAACCUAGAUGAAUUAGGGGAGUACAGGAGUUAGGGGGUGGGAGGUUUGCAUUUCUUUCACAAGGGUGUAACUUAAAACUUCAGUGCUUCUAGGGAAGCCUGUGUACAUCAGGGUCCUCUGAGGAUUGCUCUGGCCAAAGAUAGAAAAGUGCCAUGGCAGGCACAAUUUCAUGCCUAUCCAAACAUCAGGUUCUAAUAGAACCUUUGAGUUCCUUGUAUGGAUCCUUAAGCUUAAAAAAUCUGCCCUUGCUCUUGGUUUAAGGAUAGGCAUGUGACCAUAUCUGAACAAUGAAAUACAAAGGGGGGUGGUAGCAAGAGGGUUUCAUAAGGUGUUUCUGAAAGAAAUUCUUGUGCCACACCCUGGUGCUUACCUUUGAAUAUGGUUGUGUGAUAAAAUCUGCUGUAGUCAUCUUGUCACCAUAAAAUUUGGGUAGAUUAAUAAAGCCAGCCUAGAAUUCUGACAUUGAGCUGUUGAGCCAGUGUCAGCAGUUGCCCUCUUCCACAUUUGGUAUUACAUAUAAGAAAAAUAUGUUACUUACAGAGGAAACCUCCCUUUCCAGGUUCAACGUAACUUUGGGAAGUCCAGGGGAAUCCCUUAAGUGUGCUCAGUGGUGAGAAGAGUGAAAGUUAUAUGUGGCAUGACGUUUUAAAGAAUGAUGCUAUAGAAUGGGUCUCUGAUGUUCGCUCUAGAAUGUAAGGUCAACCUGCAGCAGCAGGAGAAGCUAAUGCCAAAAACACCAAGUCAGAAGCCUCAAUCAUAGAAGUGGCAGCCAGCAAGGGCCAAGCUCAAAUUGUGUAGACUACUCCCUGGUACUGAUUAGCCCUUUGGAAAUUUAGUGCACUCUAGGUUUGAUACAACUGACAGUGCUUUAAGUCAAGGUAAUUAGAUGUGUAGGCAAGUUUGAAAACCUCAGCACUUCAAAGUGUAGAUUGGUACAAGAUGGCUGUUGAGGUUCCAGUUAUUAGCUUCCUAUAGAAAUGUUAGUUUGAACAGCAGGCUACCUUCACAAGUGAGAAAUCAGUGAUUUUAGCAUUAGGAAAAAAAAAUUGCCUUCUGCCCCUUCCACAACUCUAUAACAUGGAGAGAUUCUUGAAGUAGUGAGAAGGAAUUUAGACCUCAGACUUGCUGCUUCUGUUUGGCAUGUGUCCACAGAUUGAACCUUUGGACUCAUUGGUCAGUUGCCAAAGUACUGCCCCAGCCUUGGGCAGCAUAGCGUGAAGGACUUGGGGUGGGACAGGAAAGUUAAGUGCAGGACUUUGUCUUGGAACUCAGUGACAUCCCAGAGGAACCAGGCAGAAGCCAGAGGCCAGAAUCCCUAGGUCAGUGCUCAUGGAUGGAGCCUCUGGAGCAACCCUGUCCCUAGGCAGAGACCUAUUUAUAAGGAAGAUGUGAGUUUGGGCCUAUAUAACUGCCAGUUGUAAGGUGGGUCAAUGGCAUGUACCUGAGAUGUGAGGGUCUCUAGCCAUUAUGAGACUUAGGUAACCCAGCUUUAUACUGUGGAUUCUGGGACAUUAGGGUCCCACUAAUGGAUUUGCCCAUUCUGUUCUUUGAACCAUAGAACAAGAUGGAGUAUCUGCUUGGGGAAGUAAAGGAAGGUAGGUGUCAAGUUGGCAUCGUAGCCUGGGAUCAGUCCCUAUAGAGUUAAGCCCUAGGGCCAGGAUCUCAUGGUUCCUUAUCAGGCUAGUGAUUUUGUGAGAUGCCUGAGCCCUCUCCAGAACCAGGCAAAGGCUUGGGAGGAUGGAUGUCUCCUUUUUGGUACUCAAUUCAUUCUUUUAAUUUUUUUUUGUAUUAAAUUCUUUUAUUGGUACAUUUUAGGUAUACAGCACAAUUACAUUUCUCAUUGGGAGUUGUACCUUUACAUAAUGCAUCUUGGUUCUUAUUUUUCCCCCAAUCCUAGCCCUCUUCAUUCCCUCCACCCUUCCCUAUUUACAAAGACUUUAUUUCCAUUUUUUCCAUUUCUCAUCAUUUUUUCCUUUCCCUUCUUUCCUUUCCCCUGCCCCUCCCACUACCCCUACCCCUUUGGACCUUUUCUUCCUAUUUUGCAUUAUCAAUUAUUCAUUCUAAUCAUUGGUACAUUUUAGGUAUAUAAUAUAAUGACAUCCAUCAUUGGAAAUUUGCAUCUUUACAUAGUCUCUCUUGGUUCUUAUUUUUCACCCUUGCCCAGCCCUCCCUUCAACCCCUCCAUUCCUCCCUAUUUACAAAGAUUUUGUUUCUAUUUUUCCAUUUUCUCCUAUUAAUCCCAUUCUCUUCUAUCCUUUCCCCUAGCCCUCCCACUUCCUUCACCUUUGCCUCCUACUCAAUUCAUUCUUAAUGAUUCACCAACUGCAGAUUUGAAAUGAACUGGAACUUGGCUGGAACAGUGACACCAAAUGCAGAUGCCCACAAAACCUAUUUUGAGGGUGCUAAUUCAUGCCGAUAAGAGAACAGGCUCAGAGUAUGUGAAGACUCAAUCCCUCAACAUGCAGAUAACAUUGCAUGCCAACAAGCAUCAAGAACUUAAAGGAAAAUAUGACUUCACCUAAUAAUCAAAGGCACAAGAAACCACAUGUAACAACCAAGACAUGCCCCUCAGAAAAUUCAAUGUGGUUUGUGUGUUACUGAGGUACACAUUUUGAAAUACAAUUAAAAAGCUCUUUUUAAAGAAACUUCGUGAACUUAAAAAACAGGUGAUUGUCAGAAAAACUUUGACUCAAAUUACAAGUUUUUAAAAAUUUUUGAAUGGAAAAAUACUGAAAAAAUGUAGUUCAAAGUAUUAGCAGGACAGAUAAGACAGUGAGGGCUGGGGAUUUAGCUCAGUGGUUCUGCCGCCUGCCCCGGAAGGGCAAGGUCCUGAGUUUGAUCCUUGGUACCAAAAAAAGUGAAUUCAAAUCCAAGCUAUUUGAAAGUACAGCUGGGAAAAAAUGAAGAGAAAGCCUAUAGGGACUUUAAGAUAGUAUUAAAGUAGCCAACAUUAGGGUUCAAGAAGGACUUGAGAAUGUCAAAGGGAUAGAAAGUAUAUUGGAACAAAAGAAAACUUCCCAAACCUAGGGAAGAAUGUAUGUAUCCCUGUAUUGGAAGGUCAAUCGCCACAAUAUAAGUCAACCCCAAGGCAUAUUAUAAGCAAGCUCUCAAAGUUUAAAGCAAAGAAAAUUCUAAGCAAAGAGGAAACAUUAGAGGUAAUACACAACUUCUUGCCAGAAAUCUUACAGACCAGAAGGAAGUAGGAUAAGAUCUACAAAAUGCAGAGGGAAAACAAUUGCCAACUGAGAAUACCAUGCCUAGCAUAUACUCUCCAUUAUUUAGAAAUGAUGAGCAAUAAAGACGUUCUGAAACAAAAAUUGAGACAAUUUGCCACUAUCAGACCUGUUCUACAGAAAUUGUUAAAUAGUUCUUCAAACUGAAAGAUGGUAAUGAAUAAGGAACGUCAAGAUAGCUCAGUGAGAAGAGAAUCUGAAUUCAGAAUACUCCAGUAUUUUGAACAUGUUGUGUAAAAUCAUGAAGACUGAAACAGCUUAAAAUACUACUAUCUUAAUAUGUUAAGGAACAUGCAAUAUAGAAAUAUAAAAAGACGAAAAAUUCAAAAUGGAGAAGACAUGGAGUGCAACAGGAAUUUUCAUUAGUGUCUCAUGUCUUUAUCUUCCCAAUCAAUGUUUAGUUGCUACCACUUCAUUGUAGCUUGCUAUAAUCAAAAGACAAUAAGCCUUGUAACCACAAAAUAAUUAUACUAGACGAAAACUCAUAAAGGAAUCAAAACACUUCAGUAAGUCUCUGACUUAGGAAUGAGUUCUGUUCCAGGAGAACAUAAGUUGGAUUCGUUUGUAAGUCCAAAAAGUGAGUCAUACACACCUUUGACAAAUAAUAGUAAGUCUCUGACUUACAGACAUUCAAAUUGUAAACUUGACAAUGUGAAGCAUACAAUAAAACAAAUGUGAGGUCUGUUUGUGAAAGUUCACAAAUAUUCCUAAGUUGGGGGGCUUACUGUAUUAGAGAAGACAACUACAAAGGAAGAGUGCAAGAGGGAGAAAGACCUAGAAAACAAUAUGACAGUAGUAAGGCCUUAAUUACCUUAAAUGAACUAAAUUCUUUGAUUAAAGGCCACAUAGAUUAAAACAAAUGAAGAAAAGACUCAGUUGUAUGCUACUUACAAGAUACUCUCUUUACCUCUAAGGGCAUGCAUAGACAAAGUGGAGAAAUGGAAAAAGAUACCCUAUGGCAGAAUCAUCCAAAAGAAAAAGAGUAGUCAUACCAGAUAAGAUAGAUAUUAUGGCAUGUAUCUAAAAGUCCCUUCAGUCUGUGUGGUCAUGGGGGGGUGGCUCUUUGAGAGGUUGCUGAAUCUAGAAUGUGUGAUGCUGGGAUUAAAGGUGUGGUUACUAAAUUACUCCGCUAAUUGGUUUGGCAUUGUCCUAAUCCUGGUAGUCUAGUUAGAAUAUAAAAAGGGCUGGAAGUAAGCUUCUAAGGUCACUUGUUGGGUCCCUUGCUUGCUUUGCUACCUCUGCCUGCUGUUACUCCUUUGUGAUACCUGUCUGCCAUGCCUACCUUGGAGCCAGCCAAUGGUGGACUGAAACUUCUACAAACCAUGAACCAAAUAAACCUUUCUUCCCUUAAAGUUGAGCAUUGAGUAUUUUGAAAAAUAACUAAGACAAAAAGAAAAAAAGACAAUAGACUUUAAGUCAAAAGUAAUAGGACAAAUUAUACAUACAUAUCUGUAAUAUAUAAUUACAAAUAUAUAAUUAACCAGGAUUAAAGUAUAAAAAUAUACUUUAUAAAGUAUAAUUUUAUACCAGGACUAUUUUAUAUAAAGUAUAAUUAUAAUAUCAGGACUAAAGUAUAAAAAUAUUAAUCUAAAGGGAGAAAUAGCAAUACAAGAACAGUAGAGGACUUUGUUACCUCAUCUUCAGCAACUGACAUCAAAGAAUGUAGUUACACUGUACCCCAGACCAAAUGGAUAUGAAACAUGUAUACAACAUUCCAUCCAGCAGCUGCAGGACACUUUUCUCAACAGCGCAUGAUCUCCAGGGUAGAUCUUAUGGUACACCACAAAACAAAUCUCAACAAAUUUUUAAAAAUACCGAAAUCACCUUUUCCAUCUACAAGGAAAUAAAACUAGAGGUCAGAGCAUUUGGAAACAUACAAGUGCAUGGGAAUUGAACACUACUCCCAAACAAUGAAUGAAGAAAUACAAAUUUUUCAUAAAACUAUAUGUAUACUAAACAAUAUAUAUACUAAAGCCAAUGGGAGACACCAACAGAAGCACUAAGGAAGUUUAUAGCAGUUUAAGUAUUAAAAAGAAUCAUCUCGAACAUGUAGUUACACUUCAAGGAACUAGAAAAAUGAACAAAGGCC
ensembl:lncRNA